UCCUUGGAUUCAGCGGCGGACGGGUGAGUAACACGUGGGCAACCUGCCUGUAAGACUGGGAUAACUCCGGGAAACCGGGGCUAAUACCGGAUAACUUCUUUUCUCGCAUGGGAAGAGGUUGAAAGACGGUUUUGCUGUCACUUACAGAUGGGCCCGCGGCGCAUUAGCUAGUUGGUGGGGUAACGGCCUACCAAGGCGACGAUGCGUAGCCGACCUGAGAGGGUGAUCGGCCACACUGGGACUGAGACACGGCCCAGACUCCUACGGGAGGCAGCAGUAGGGAAUCUUCCGCAAUGGACGAAAGUCUGACGGAGCAACGCCGCGUGAGUGACGAAGGCCUUCGGGUCGUAAAACUCUGUUAUCAGGGAAGAACAAGCAUCAUUUAACUGAUGGUGCCUUGACGGUACCUGACCAGAAAGCCACGGCUAACUACGUGCCAGCAGCCGCGGUAAUACGUAGGUGGCAAGCGUUGUCCGGAAUUAUUGGGCGUAAAGCGCGCGCAGGCGGCUUCUUAAGUCUGAUGUGAAAGCCCACGGCUCAACCGUGGAGGGUCAUUGGAAACUGGGAGGCUUGAGUGCAGAAGAGAAGAGCGGAAUUCCACGUGUAGCGGUGAAAUGCGUAGAGAUGUGGAGGA
rnacentral:rRNA from 2 species